CCAGCGUCACAAUGGACAGCUGGCCUAUAACAGGCUUGGACCAAGGCAAACAUUCCAGAGACAUCAGGGCUGCUGUUCAGCCCACAGGUGGGGCUCCUGCUGUUCGCCCAGACCUUGCACACCAAAGGAACUGAAACAACAUGGCGAGAUUCCAACACAGCAGGAGCAGCAGCAGGAACUGCAAAUGGAUGGCGAAAAGGGGACGCCGUGGGGGCGGCUCCGGACGGCGGGGCAAAGGGAGGAGGAGGGGAAGGCGCGGCGGAAGGAGAAAAGGUGGCAAAAGCCGUAGAGGUGGGCGGAGGAGAAAGAGAACAUGUCAGGCCCCAUGAAACCCAAAGCCUCAGGCUAUUGCCCUGUUCAAUCUCUACUAAACAACACUCGAGAGCCAUCCCCCAUCAGACUACCUGAGGCAACCUCGCCCUACAAGAUCCCAGCAACUUGCUUGAGAAUGAACAGUGUCCUCUGUCAAUAAACUCUGAAAUGCCAUCACCA